rnacentral:lncRNA from 1 species
CCGGGCCCGCGGACACCAGGCGAAGAGCAACCGGGCGACGCGCGCUGCGGGCAGAGCCGGGGAGCCGGAAGAGCAGAGGCCGAGCGCCGUCGGAGCCGCGUCUGGUUGGAGAAAGAGGCGGACGUGAAGGGGCGGGGGAGCCGCGGAGGAAAACCGGGACCGGCGGGAACGUCUCGAGACCCCUGCGCGCUUCGCGCGCUCGCUCGGAACUCGGCAGGCGGCGCUGCGCCGGGCCCCGAGGAAACCUGGAGGUCCCCGCCCUCCCCGCGCCCGAAACACCGCGCGUCCUGAUAGGCCCGCGCCCAGCAGCCCCCUCCCCGCGCCCGCCGCACCGGGGCCCCACCGCCUCCUGCGUCACCGCCGCCCCCGCCCGCCCGGGGACCCCGCGGUGACCGCGCUGCUGGGGGUUGAGGGACGCGUUGCGAGCCCCGGAUACAUUGUACCCUGGGGGUACAUAAUGAAGGAUGCUGUACCUGAAAGGAAAAGGGCAUCUCCAAAAGGGGACUUCGCGGGUGGAAUUUCCUUCCAAAAUCCUCGAGGAACAAGGUGUAUUUCCGACCUGGAUUAAUGAAUCCCCCCUCCUAUCCCGCACUUCCUGUGGAAACAGUGUCAGGAUGUGGCGCGGACCUAUGUGCGUCCCUUAUACCAGGACUUGCCUUCAACGCUGAAGGUGAACCCUGGGUCAUCCUCGCUGUAUUCAGGCGGCGCUGCAAAGGCUUCUGGGCAGCCAAUAGGCCCUUGAGCGCCUCAGCCCCAUCUUGCUUCAGUAGGCAAACGGACGGGUGUCUUCAUCCACCUCCUAGGCCGUGGUCUACCCUUCGUUCAAAUGUUUCUUCCUGCUAGCUGACUGUCCAGGUCCUUAGCUGUAUCACAUUGUUCAAAUGUGUGUGCGCAGGUGUUUCUUUUUCAACUAAUCAUGCAGGAAGUGGCGGGAUGCCUUACUGCCAUUAUUUGCUGAGUAUUUCCAGAUGGAACUGUAGUUGAUAGCCAAUAAAUUUGGUACGUUUUUAUCGGGAUGCGCAUGCCAUAGAUCGUCCCUGAGAUAAUGCUUUGCAAUGUGGAACCUGAAACACCUAUGUAUAAGCCCAAGCCUUUCAUUAAUAUUAACUGUGAGACCCCUGGAAGCUACUACUUUGUGUGAGCCUGUUUUCUCCGCCCUCAAACAGUGGAUAUAAUACCCCCUUGCAAGGCUGUGAGAUUAAAUGGAUAACUGUGCAUAAUGCUAAGCAUGGUGUCUGGGACGUAAGAGGUUCCUUAUAUCCCAUUAGUUCACUAGGUGGGAUCACCAAGUUGAAAUUCAUUUUUUAAUAUUUUGCUUGUUGGAGUACUCACAACUCAACUUCUCUGGCUAAUUUGAUGUUUAAUUUGAAAGGUAAUGACACUAUUUUGUAACAUUUUUAGAUGCUUAAGGGAAAUUUGAAAUGCAAAGUGGAACAACAUUAAAAGGAAACUCAUUUGUAAAAUAAAGAAAAACAAAAUCUAUGCAAGCCAAAGAAGUCAUGAAUGCUGAGGAAGCAAAAAUUGUGAUUUUCCCCUCUCCAAUCCCACUGUUCAUUUAUCUUUAUUUGCAUCAGUUAGACUGGUUGUUUACAAAGCUAAUACCACCAUACCACUAGUCAAAAGAGAGUUCCAUACCUUUGCUGACCUAGUGGUAGACCAUUCUUCUCAGGCAAGGUUGGCUUUUUCAAAGGAAAGUUUACUAUAAACUGAGAGAGAAGUAGUAACAUUAUAGAAUUUGAUGAUUCAUCUAUAAGAAAUCUGAAGACUGUACAGAUGAACCUAGCUGGCAUAGAUGACUGCCAUCGGUUUCUCCCCUAAUUUUAACCCUAUCUCUUGAUUUCUCUUGUUCGGCAAGUGUCCCCCACGGUACUUGUUAAGACUGAUUAGCUCUCCCCAGGAGUAGACUUUUAUCUGUUGUACCAGAAAACAAGCCUAGUCGGUGCAGCCAUUGUUGUGAGGAUUAAAUUAAAUGAAUUAAUGCCUGUAAAGAGCAUGGGAGAGGCUGGUACAUGGUAAGCACCAUUCGAGUAUUUGUAAAAUAUAUUUUUAGAAAUCUCUCCUUGCAGUCACUCUCUGUCCACAGUAACAAAUGAUGGUUGUCUCUUUCUGCUUAAACACCAAAUUUCCUAGUGGGUCACCCAUUAAGUCUGUCUCUCAUAGUCUGAGGGAUGCCUCAGGGUCUCAGCUCAUGUUUAAAACAGAGAUAGAUUAAAUACUCAGUGCACAGGAAAUGCUAACUGAGCCUUUCCAAACCCACAAUAUCAACUGAUAUUUCCUCAGGAGCCAAGUAAGCCCCAUAACAGAGGAAUGACCUUGCAGAAAUCUAAAAGUCUAUUUUUUAAUGCCAUUAAAAAGAUCUUAAUCCUGUAAUAGUGAGACAUAACUUACAACAGUAAGACAGAAAUAAAUUUUAUUUAAUGGCUUUGUUCUAAGUUUAUUACCACCAAGUAUUCCUUUUAUUAUUUUCUGUCCACUAGGGACACCGUGCUCUUAAAUAUUUGGGUAUCAAACUGAAUAAAUUAAAUCAUAAUUAAUGGUUUUCUAGUUGUAUUAAUAAGAAGUAUACACAGAUUGCAACUGAAAAAAGAAAAAUGUACUUGUUAAUGAGAUGGAUGAUAUUUUACUUAGUCUGUGCUGACUGAGUGAGGAUGAACAAUAUACACUGUGUUUUGAAUUUGCUUGUGAGCAUGGUAAAAUAAAAAUAUCUAAUUUUUUUCAGUGAAUUGGGGGGAAGAAAUGAAAGAAAAUAGUGUAUAGAAUCUCUUUUAUGGUAGCUAAAGAUUCAGAUCUUCAUGUUACAAUCACUGAUUAAAAAUAGUAAUUAUAUCUGUUUAAAUGCAUAGUCUCAGCAUCUGAGACUCAGCUAAAG